rnacentral:rRNA from 1 species
AGUGAACGCUGGCGGUAGGCCUAACACAUGCAAGUCGAACGGCAGCACAGUAAGAGCUUGCUCUUACGGGUGGCGAGUGGCGGACGGGUGAGGAAUACAUCGGAAUCUACUUUUUCGUGGGGGAUAACGUAGGGAAACUUACGCUAAUACCGCAUACGACCUACGGGUGAAAGCAGGGGAUCUUCGGACCUUGCGCGAUUGAAUGAGCCGAUGUCGGAUUAGCUAGUUGGCGGGGUCAAGGCCCACCAAGGCGACGAUCCGUAGCUGGUCUGAGUGGAUGAUCAGCCACACUGGAACUGAGACACGGUCCAGACUCCUACGGGAGGCAGCAGUGGGGAAUAUUGGACAAUGGGCGCAAGCCUGAUCCAGCCAUACCGCGUGGGUGAAGAAGGCCUUCGGGUUGUAAAGCCCUUUUGUUGGGAAAGAAAAGCAGCAGGUUAAUACCCCGCUGUUCUGACGGUACCCAAAGAAUAAGCACCGGCUAACUUCGUG